rnacentral:lncRNA from 1 species
GGGCUGCUCUGGUCGGAGCAGCGGGUGACAGGCAGGUGUGGGGGGACCAGGAGGGAGGCCGUCUGGUGCAGAACUGGACACGGUGCUGCAUUUAUGAUUUUGUUUCUCCUAAGUAGACACCAUAUCUCUGGAAAGUCUGCAGACCCAAGGAAACGUUAACUCCCCACUGGGAAGGGCGAGGGUCCUGGCCGCCAGGAAGGUCGGCCUGAGUGGGCGCUGUGGUGGGGGCAGUGCGCCGUGGUCACAGCCCUGACUCGCCCGGCUUGCAGCUCCUCGGGCCCUCCCCACCCCCACGUUCACAAACACACACAUGCCUAUACUCACACGGGGGUAGAUGUGUGUGUGCUUUCAGCGGUUUUAAUCACUGUGUGAAAUCAGUGACGUGGUGGCUUUGUCCAGCUGUAUAUAGUGAUUAUUUAAAUGUCUAUUUAUUAUUUGAAUAAAGGGUAAACUCCUCUGCCUUUUAGGGGUCACGCUCUUCCCCACUAACUCCAGGCUGACUUCUAGAUAUUUCCUCCGCUCCUGAGUAUAUGUGACUCUAAGGGCGAGAAGGGGAAAAUGUUAGAAUCAGACACAGCUGGUUCUAGACGAGUGUAAUGUAUUACCUCAAUUUUUCACUUAUUUUGUAAAAGUAACUAAGGUUUAUCUCGUUUGACUUUAAUGUGUCGUCUUAAUCGUAUUUUACAUUGAAGCCUUACAUUUUUAAAAAACCAAUUUUGUAUUUUUCUUGUGGCGAUCCUUGCUCCAAUCUCCGUCUCGGGUGCUAGGCACAAAUUUAGUUAAGACCUGAAGUUUCUCCUUUGGCGGGAGCUGCAUCAAUCACCAGACGGGAUGCAAAAGCAACCCCCAGCCACUGAAUAGCUUGUCUUUCCUGCCACCUGUUUCAGUGCAGAGAGCUGGGUUGUCUUUCACUUUACAUGAGUAUGUUAAUACCAGAGAGGCAAAGUCAGCAACGGAGCAGAGGUGAAAUUAAGACACGUGCUUGUCGGAGUUCCCUUCGUGGCUCAGCAGUUAACAAAUCCAACUAGAAUCCACGAGGAUGCGGGUUCGAUCCCUGGCCUCAUUCAGUGGGUUAAGGAUCCAGCGUUGCCGUGAGCUGGGGUGUAGGUUGCAGAUGCAGCUUGGAUUCUGCGUUGCUGUGGCUGUGGUGUAGGCUGGUGGCUGCAGCUCCGAUUUGACCCCCUAGCCUGGGAACCUCCAUAUGCCACAUGUGCAGCCCUAAAAAGACAAAAAAAAAAAAAAAAAAAAAAAAAAAA